rnacentral:rRNA from 1 species
UACGUAGGGUGCGAGCGUUGUCCGGAAUUAUUGGGCGUAAAGAGCUCGUAGGCGGUUUGUCGCGUCGACUGUGAAAACCUACAGCUUAACUGUGGGCUUGCAGUCGAUACGGGCAGACUUGAGUUCGGUAGGGGAGACUGGAAUUCCUGGUGUAGCGGUGAAAUGCGCAGAUAUCAGGAGGAACACCGGUGGCGAAGGCGGGUCUCUGGGCAGUAACUGACGCUGAGGAGCGAAAGCGUGGGUAGCAAACAGG